UGGGUCAGCGAUGACACUGGUGCCAUGAAUCUCAGUCAGUGACUGUCCUGUGUCUGGAACUCUGAGGUCCAG